ACCGAAGAGGAAGUUAAACGCGCC
rnacentral:siRNA from 1 species